rnacentral:rRNA from 1 species
AGAGUUUGAUCAUGGCUCAGGACGAACGCUGGCGGCAUGCCUAACACAUGCAAGUCAAGGGGUAGCAAUACCACUGGCGCACGGGUGAGUAACACGUAGGUUAUCUACCCCCAUCACAGACAUAACCCCGGGAAACCGGGGCUAAUAUCUGAUGAGGUCGCGAGAUCAAAGUCUUCGGACGGAUGGGGAUGAGCCUGCGGCUGAUUAGCUAGUUGGUGAGGUAAUGGCUCACCAAGGCGACGAUCAGUAGCUGGUCUGAGAGGACGAACAGCCACACUGGAACUGAGACACGGUCCAGACUCCUACGGGAGGCAGCAGUGAGGAAUAUUGGUCAAUGGGAGCAAUCCUGAACCAGCAAUGCCGCGUGUGGGAUGACAGGGCUCAGCCUUGUAAACCACUGUCGGACGGGACGAAAGGAGGCCUCGGGCCUCUGGGACGGUACCGUCAAAGGAAGGGUCGGCUAACUACGUGCCAGCAGCCGCGGUA